UAGGGAAUAUUGCUUAAUGGGCGAAAGCCUGAAGCAGCAACGCCGCGUGCGCGAUGAAGGCCUUCGGGUUGUAAAGCGCUUUUAGCUGGGAAGAGGAAGGACGGUACCAGCGGAAUAAGCCUCGGCUAACUACGUGCCAGCAGCCGCGGUAAAACGUAGGAGGCGAGCGUUAUCCGGAUCUACUGGGUGUAAAGCGCGUGCAGGCGGUUUGCUAAGUUGGGUGUGAAAGCUCCCGGCUCAACUGGGAGAGGUCGCUCAAGACUGGCAGACUGGAGAGCAGUAGGGGAAGGUGGAAUUCCGGGUGUAGUGGUGAAAUGCGUAGAUAUCCGGAGGAACACCAGUGGCGAAAGCGGCCUUCUAGACUGCAUCUGACGCUCAGACGCGAAAGCUAGGGUAGCAAACGG
rnacentral:rRNA from 1 species